CUAAGCGUACACGGUGGAUGCCCUGGCAGUCAGAGGCGAUGAAGGGCGUACUAAUCUGCGAUAAGCGCCGGUAAGGUGAUAUGAACCGUUAUAACCGGCGAUACCCGAAUGGGGAAACCCAGUGUGAUUCGUCACACUAUCAUUAACUGAAUCCAUAGGUUAAUGAGGCGAACCGGGGGAACUGAAACAUCUAAGUACCCCGAGGAAAAGAAAUCAACCGAGAUUCCCCCAGUAGCGGCGAGCGAACGGGGAGGAGCCCAGAGCCUGAAUCAGCAUGUGUGUUAGUGGAAGCGUCUGGAAAGGCGCGCGAUACAGGGUGACAGCCCCGUACACAAAAGCGCAUGUGCUGUGAGCUCGAUGAGUAGGGCGGGACACGUGGUAUCCUGUCUGAAUAUGGGGGGACCAUCCUCCAAGGCUAAAUACUCCUGACUGACCGAUAGUGAACCAGUACCGUGAGGGAAAGGCGAAAAGAACCCCGGCGAGGGGAGUGAAAAAGAACCUGAAACCGUGUACGUACAAGCAGUGGGAGCCCCACCACCAAAGCAUUUGCUGUACCGCGUUGACGGAGCGAAGCGACGUCAAACCGAUAA
rnacentral:rRNA from 1 species